rfam:Salmo salar isolate Sally breed double haploid chromosome ssa17, whole genome shotgun sequence.
UCCCGUGUAGCUCAGUUUGUAGAGCACAGUGUUUGCAACACCAGGGUUGUGGGUUUGAUUCCCACAGGGGAC